rnacentral:rRNA from 1 species
CCCGCUGAACUUAAGCAUAUCAAUAAGCGGAGGAAAAGAAACUAACAAGGAUUCCCCUAGUAACGGCGAGUGAAGAGGGAAAAGCUCAAAUUUUGAAUCUGGCGUCAUCUGGCGUCCGAGUUGUAAUCUAGAGAAGUGUUUUCCGUGGCGGACCGUGCACAAGUCUCCUGGAAUGGAGCGUCAUAGAGGGUGAGAAUCCCGUCUUUGACACGGACUGCCAGGGCUUUUGUGAUGCGCUCUCAAAGAGUCGAGUUGUUUGGGAAUGCAGCUCAAAAUGGGUGGUAAAUUCCAUCUAAAGCUAAAUAUUGGCGAGAGACCGAUAGCGAACAAGUACCGUGAGGGAAAGAUGAAAAGAACUUUGGAAAGAGAGUUAAACAGUACGUGAAAUUGCUGAAAGGGAAACGCUUGAAGUCAGUCGCGUCAUCCAGGGAUCAACCUUGCUUUUGCUUGGUGUACUUUCUGGUUGACGGGUCAGCAUCAAUUUUGACCAUUGGAAAAAGAUUAAGGGAAUGUGGCAUACAUAGUGAUGUGUUAUAGCCCUUGGUUGCAUACAAUGGUUGGGAUUGAGGAACUCAGCACGCCGCAAGGCCGGGUUUUUAUUAACCACGUACGUGCUUAGGAUGUUGGCAUAAUGGCUUUAAUCGACCCGUCUUGAAACACGG